ACCUUUUUAUAAGGAGACACAGAGGGAGUUGUGGUGUGAUCGUCUGAGCUGUGUGUGUGGUGGUGCACACCUAUAAUUCUAGCCAUUGGGAGGUAGAAUCAAGAAGGUCACUCCAAGUCUGAGACAAAUCUUAAAAGUAAGUUCCAAGACUAUCUUUUUAAUAAUUAAAAGAAAGAGAUAGGAGGGUCAGGAGAAAGGGGAAGAAUGAAAAUGGAAAGAAAAAGAAGAGAGAAGCAAGAUGUAAAGAAAAUCAAAAAAGAAAUAAACAGAGAACGGAAGGAAGAAGGAAAACAUCACAUGUGAUGAUCUGAAAACUACAAAGCUGGCUGCUCUGUUUGUGAUGGCCUCUGAGUUGACUUCAGACACUCAAGCGAGAGCCUGGAAUCCCUAUCUUCUGGGAACCUUUGACACUUGGCAUUGGUAUUUGAUUGUUGUUCUGUUGCAGGAAGGGUGACCUAAGACAGCCCCUCUGGCAUCCUCAUUACCUUGAACAAUCAGAAUGUAUAUAUCGGGAGUGGACAAAUCAGUGGCCAAGUUUUCUGAGGCCUUUUGUUUUUAAUGUUGCAGGCAUUCCCCAAAGGUCCCUGAACGUCUGCAGUGAGCCAGGCCUGCAGGGAUCCGAGUGCAUGUGAUAUACCUGUACUUCUUCAUGUACCACACUUCAUGUUUGCUUUGAUAGCAGGCAUAUAUUUUCCUUCUGCUUGAAGAGUGUGUUUUGUGAGGUACAAGUUAUGAUACUGGCUAUCACAUGAAGACUGUUCUUACUGACCCUUAUUGCACAGGCUUCGAUUGAUAUGAGGUUUAUUGGACUACGUACUGGCUAUGAUUCAGCUGUGUGUACACAGCAGACAAUAUUGAGAGUUAUUAAAAAGCCUUUUGAUUCUCACUUCCCAAAUUUGGGGAAGAGAACACAUUUGUAAUCGACAGAGAGUUCUCCCAGGAUGAAGGAAAUUUAAGUUGUGCGGGUCCUACACUCCCUCUCAUACUUCCAAGAUGAACAUGUGUGGGUUCUUGCUUGUCUUUCGUGAGGCAGGAAUAUGGUGCUACGAAUGCCUGCUUAGCAUGAGUGGACACACAUUUCUUAGCUUUUUUUUUUUUUAAUGGAGGUUGUUUUCUGUGAUUUCAUUUGACCUGAAAUUCACUACAUAUCCCAAACUGGCUUUGAACUCACAAUAAUUUUCCUGCAUCAGUCUCCCAAGUGCUGGGAUUACAAAUAUGAGCCACCCCAUCCAUCUUUUCCUUUCCUUUUUAAUCAGCAUAUUACGUUCUAGAUACUAUUAUGACAUUCUUAUAACAAAGUGUGGCAUGGUGUUUCUCCUUCUCUCCUCACCCAAUUCCUCAUGGCCCCAGUCCUUCCUUUAGCUAACCAUUUCUUGUCUUCUUUCAUGUCCCAUGUGUCCUCUUACCUACCCCACCCUUCCAUCUCACCUAACGUUACUGUUUUAGUCCCUAAUGCCAUCUUUCUCCCUUUCCUUUUUUCUUUUUCAUUAUUUACUUACUUGUUUCUUUGGUUGUAUAUUUGUUGAUUGAUUUAUGAUUGAUUGAUUGAUUGAUUGAUUGAUUGAGGGACUCAUACAAUAGCUUAAGUGACCUGAAACUCACUAUAAACAAACUGGCCUUAAACUCCUGGGGAUCCUCCUGCCUCAGCUUCCCUACUGGAAUUGCAGACAGGAGCUUCCAUGACUGACUCACCCGUGUUUUCUUGUCACCAGAAUUUCCAGUGGUCAAGCUCAUGACUCUUCCUGGUUCCAGAAACCACUGGGGCUUCUGAUGUGACAAAAUGAAAAUGUGUGCUUCAGAGGAGUGAAUUGAAAGUCAAACAUAGAACAUCUAGUUGCACUUUUGUGUAUCCAAUCAGCAGGUUGAUACAUGCCCAGUCUUUCCAUAUGAAGAACACAGUUGUGAAGCUUGGUUCCAGCCUCAGCUCCUUUCGUAAGCUGGGAUCUCAGGAAUUAGGGCAUAAAUCACUCUGUAAAUGCAGACUUUUAGCCAAAAUGCAGUCUCCAUAAAUAUUUUAGCAGCAUUUGUGAUGCUUUUAAUUCUCCAUCAUUUCACAUGAGUUCACUUCAAAGCUAAAUUAUUAAUGUACCUCAACCAAAAAGUUCAAAAUACAGUGCGCUGAAGAGACCACACUAACUGCAACUCAGAGCAUCCUCACAAAGUCCUCAAGCAGAUUGUUCCUGUGUAUUUGUAUCUUGAACCAAAAAC
rnacentral:lncRNA from 1 species